UACGUAGGGAGCAAGCGUUGUCCGGAAUCAUUGGGCGUAAAGCGCGCGUAGGUGGCCCCAUAAGUCCGCUGUGAAAGUCAAAGGCUCAACCUUUGAAAGCCGGUGGAUACUGUGGGACUAGAGUACGGAAGAGGCGAGUGGAAUUCCCGGUGUAGCGGUGAAAUGCGCAGAUAUCGGGAAGAACACCCGUGGCGAAGGCGGCUGACUCUCGGGACGGUACUGGACGCUGAGACGCGAAAGCGUGGGGAGCGAACAGGAAUUAGGA
rnacentral:rRNA from 1 species